CCUCCAUUUUGUCAUCAGUAACAAUAUAUUAAAAUUUGAGAAGCUUUGGUAGAACAGUUCAUGCGUAAAUGCACGGACACGACUGAAAACUCCAUUUUUCAAUCUUUCAAGAACCAUAACUCCUGAACCGUAAAAGUCAAAAUCGUCAUUAUUGAACUUGACCUCCAUUUUGUCAUCGGUAACAACAUGUUAAAAUUUGGGAAGCUUUGGUAGAACAGUUCAUGCGUAA
rnacentral:lncRNA from 1 species